GACGUAGGGGGCGAGCGUUGUCCGGAUUUAUUGGGCGUAAAGCGUGCGUAGGCGGCUGCGCAAGUCGGUUGUGAAACCCCGGGGCUCAACCCCGGAACUGCAUCCGAUACUGCGUGGCUAGAGGUAGGUAGGGGAGAUCGGAAUUCCUGGUGUAGCGGUGAAAUGCGCAGAUAUCAGGAGGAACACCAAUGGCGAAGGCAGCACUCUGGGACGGUACUGACGCUGAGACGCGAAAGCGUGGGGAGCAAACAGG
rnacentral:rRNA from 1 species